UCAAUUGCAAACACCUGUCUCUCUUCCUCUCCAAACCUUAGCUCUCACUCUCCUCUUCAUCUUCACCAUCGAUCAGCUCUGUCACAGUCGAUCUCCUCUGUCACCGCCGAUCUGCACCUUCUCUCUCUCUCUCCUCUCGUUUCCUCUCUCUUAAACAUUCACAUCUCUUCUUAUUUUCUCUUUCUAUUUCUCUAAAAGCCUUCAAUGUCAAAUCUGAUCCGCCGUCGUCCACCGUCGUAUUGCGCUGCCGUUCAUUGAGCAGCCAAAUCUGCAGAUCCAUAGUCGCCGUAGGUAUAACUUGUGUGCGAUGGCGAGCCAGAAGCGAGGAAGCUCUAUUUCAUAUCUGCGCUAUCCUAAACCAUAAUCUGAACCAGAUUCUCUAAUCUCGAAGCCUUUGUGUCUUCUCUCUCUUCUUCUAGAUCAAGACUAGCGACUCCAUAAACUGAAUCUGGGCAAUCUCCUAAAUGACUACGUUCUGGUCAACGUCUGCUUUCUAAUUCGGUACACACACUCUCCAUCAUCCAUGCUCUCCAAUUGAGCAUCACUUCCAGAAUCCAUGAAGGGUCUGAUUCGAGCUGUGGACUUCCAUGGAUGAUGAGUACUGGGUUAAUUAUGGGUGAGACACUUAAUUCCUUCAAAUCGGCUGCCAAACUAGUAUGAUCUAUGUGAAGAAAACUGCUUUAGAGAUGUGAGAAGAAGAAGACGACGAUGACAACAAAGAAGAGAAAGGAGGAAGAAAUAAAAAAGAAGUGAUUUUUGGUAUUAUGUAAUCUGCCUGAUCUUAAGUGUAGCCACAAUUUAGUCAUUCAACUUAAAUUUUAGUUAAUUUUUUUGGUGUA